rnacentral:lncRNA from 1 species
AUUUACUAAAACAACAUAAUUACAGAUCUGUGCUGCUUUCAGUCUUCUGGCAAUGCACAGUGUUUGACUCAUAACUCUUCAAGUUUUCGAGAAGAAGUGACUAUGGCUGUUCAUUCUUAAAUGGGACAUAUUGAAAGACCUCAGAAGAGGUACUUUCGUAGAAGGAGAACCGCACCCAGGAAUCAGCGAGACUACGAACUUGGAUGCAAAAGCAAAAGGCUUUAUUGAAAACACGGGCUCAGGGAACACUACAGAAGAGGUGGCAGAGUUUAAGAGUGGGAAUAAGGAAGAAUGCUAUGAAGUUCCAUCUUCUGAAUAUGGAAAAUGGAUGGAACUGGAGAUCAUGAUUGAUUAGGACAACAUGAUUGAUUAGGACAACAGACUCAGGAAGAUC